rfam:Triticum aestivum genome assembly, contig: Triticum_aestivum_CS42_TGACv1_scaffold_503286_6BL
CUAUUACUCCCUCCGUCCGAAAAUACUUGUCAUCAAAAUGGAUAAAGAGAGAUGUAUCUUCUAGAUACAUCUCUCUUUAUCCAUUUUGAUGACAAGUAUUUUCGGACGGAGGGAGUACAAC